UCGGAGGGUGAUUUGGCGGCCUAGUUGGCCACUUCUGCGAAGUCGCGACCUGUUGACGGUAAUCCUUGACGGAGCGAACAUAAUUGCCGCAAGGAGGAGAACCGCCCAUAAUGACGUUUAGGUGCUGCCUCGUUUUCACUUGAUUGGAGUCCAAGAAGGCGCGUAAAUCGGUUGCAUUAUCGUCGUUUUUCGACGACGGAGUGUCGUUGCUUGACUUUUUAGUUUGCUCCAGACGCCUUCGGAGGUCAGUGGAUUUCAAACGAUUGAGAUGGAUGCGAAGAUCGCAUGCACCUGCAUUGAGUUUAUCUCGAAGGUCAGCGUUUGGGCGCCCUUUGUGAUCGGGGUCACUUGUUGAGAUA
rnacentral:lncRNA from 1 species